ACUGUCCUGUCUCUGCACUUUAAAAUUGAAAUACAAAAUAUCCUCCUGGUUUAAUUAUCUUUGAUAGAGAUAUCUUGGAGCCAUCACUGUCCUCUUGCCCUUUUGACCUGACAACAAACCUGGUUCCCCAACCUUAAAUUUUGGUUGUCCCUAAAGAAUUUAGCUCAAUCUUGAACCCCUACUUCCCACUCUGUCUGGAUUUCUUUCCAAUCUAAUAGAACCAGAAAAACAUACAGCUCAAGUGGAUGUACCCAAAUCCUGACUUUGAGUUAUUUGACCCAUCUUGCUAAUUUGUGAAAACACAGAGGAUGAAGAUGUACUUCAUUAUAUAUGCCUUGGAUGGCAAAUAUAUAUGGAAAUCACUUCUUACAUGAUAAUUUUCUUUGAAGCAGACAAAAGCAGUUUAAAAGAUAAAAUAUUUCAACUUAACGGGCACCAUGGAGCUUUGGGGAAGAGAGAGAGAGGCAGAGACACAGG